UGAUUUGGCUGAUCUGGUUGGCUAGGCAGUUGUCCCUUCCCUCCCUCACUGCUCAAUGUGCAUCCCUCCCAAAGCUGUGCACUCAGUCAAAGGACAACCAUCCCCGAUAGAAGAGAAACAGUCUUCAGUCAAGGGUACACGAGUAGCUGCACUUCCCUUCUAGAACCUCCAAACAAGUUCUCAAGGUCCAAUAUGUAUAUGUUUUAAUAUGCUAGAUAUUAUGACUGAAUUGUUACAGUAUCUUUAUUCAUGUC
rnacentral:snRNA from 1 species